GUCAAAGAGGAUUCUGGGAAAUGUAGUAAAGAAGUGAUGAUCCAGGCAGGAAAUGACAUAGCAGGGAGACUCAUACAUAAACAAGGAAAGAAGGAAGUGGGCCCUCUCUUCCUCCAGACUGGCAAGGGAGGACGCCAAUGGAAGGCGCCAAGAUAAGUCUUAUAAAAUAUAUAGAUUUAUGAUGAUUAAGACUGAGCUAACAGAUGAGAAUCCUAGUCAUUGGCCAAGCAGCAAUUUGUUCCUAAUAUAAGUCUCUGCAUUAAUUGGGACCCUAACUUGGCAGACAGAACUCAGGUGGCUGGCAUAGACCACCCAUGUGGCGGUAGGGCUCGGGUGGCUUUUGGCGGAAAGAUUUAUCCUAACACUUCCCAAAACAUUUGCAUUCUCUUUUAUUUUUCCUUUUCUUUCACACUUAGACCUCAAGGUAAAUUAAAAUGUUAGCUAAGUUAGAGAAUGUUACAAGAUUGAGGACUCUACAAGUUCUGCUUGCUUCUUGAUCUUUCUGAUUUAUGGACAGCAUGUAAAUGAGCAAGAAAAGACUCCAAUGAAGUGUCCUUCAUUGCCCUAGGAGGUCUUCCUUAUUAAUUCCAGUAGCUUUAUGUAGAGGGUCUGUACAAGUACAAAGUGGAACAACUUAGAGGUUUGAUACCUCUAGCUAGAACAUAGCAAACACUUGACUGUAUUUCAAAUGUUAGAGAAUGGCUAUUACAUUAGCAAGGUAUGAACUGGGGAAACUAGCCUCAUUAAAUCACCAAAGGUGUGGGGGCUUUUGUAUACCUUGUAAUCAAUGCCAAAUAAAGCUUAGAGCAUGAUGGGCAGCGACUGUAACUAUAAAGUCUUUGUCACAUGUGAGCUUGUAGCACAACCUGGAACUGAAGGUGUCUGUUCAUCUUCCUGAUGCUUUAUCAGAUCAGAUGGCCACUUCAGAAGAGUAGAAGAGUUCUGUGCCUGAGGACCACUGUGAUGGUUGAAUUUUAAUUUGGAUAUUCAUUUUUCAUUCACAUUGUCCUCAGGGAAGAUGGUGUGCUUAGGGAGUGUGGGAACUAAAAGUUAUUAUGAACCUUAUCAUCUAUCUGUUACAGAUCAGCAUAAACAAAGGAAGCAUGAUGGUCAACCCUCUGGGACUUGACCACCGACUUUCAAACUCAUAAGAGGUUCCUGGUGCUAACAUUUGGUUCCUGAAGGACUCACUCGUUUAAUUAGUAAAAGUGAGAAGACAAAACAGUGGCUGGGGAGAUGUUUCAACAGACACACUUUCCUUGUGAGCAUGAGGAUCGGUGUUCUGAUCAGCAGCACCCAAAUAACGUCCAAGCAGUCACAACAGACGUGUUCAUUUGAAGACCGGUAGAUGAAAAGAACCCAGAAGAAAAUGGUGCCCUUGCAGCAUCUAAAAAACAGCAAGAAGACUCCAAGUUCACAACACUAUAUUGGGAAAUGUAGCAUUAUCCAAAAUUAACUCAUAUGCGCACUGCCUUAGUGUCGCUGUUGUUGUUCCUGCUGCUCAGGAAUGAAACACUCAGACAAAAACAUUUUACUGGAGAAAAAAAAAUGAUUUAUUUUAGUUGACAUUUCAAGUCACAGUUCCUCAUGGUAGGAGAGUCAAGGUGGCAGGAGCUUGAAGCAGCUGGUCACAUGACAUCCAUAUCUGAGAAGUGCUGUCCAGGGAAUAAUAGUUCUGGCCACAAUUAAGCUGAGUGCCCACUGGACAUGGGGAGGGAUGCCUUUAAUCCCAGCACUCUAGAGGCAGAGGCGGCUUGUCUCCAGGUUUGAGGCUAGCUUGGUCUACAGAGUAAGUUCCAGGACAGUCAGGUUACAGGGAAACCCUAUCUUAGAAAGCCAAAAAAAAUAUAAAAGAAAUUAAAAAACUAAGCAGAGUGUUCCCAUUCUAUUUAUUUAAUCAAGAUAAGCUAUGGCAGGACUGUCCAGAGAUUUAUCUACAUGCAAUGCUAGAUUCUGUCAAGUUGAGAGUUCACACUCACCCUCCAGAACACUAACCAAAUAAAAUAAAUGGCAAUGUCCUCUUGAAAAUGAAGUUAUCUCAUCAAUGAAAUCUGAUGAUUUAAAAGUUGUGAAAUACUAAAUGUGGUGAUGUCUUGUUUGUACUCUAAUAAAUAAAGCUUGCUGGAAGAUCAGAGGGUGAAGUAAGCCACUAGUUAAUUAGCCAUAGAAGUCUUGAGAUCUGUAAAUUGAUACAGGAAGUAAGAUGACUGGGCAGAGAGAGGAAUAUAAGGUAGGAGGAGACAGGAGUUUGGCCUCUUUUUUGGUCUGAGGAUUUUGUAGAGGUAAGAACUCUAGUGGCUAGCUGUUCAGCUUCUCCGAUCUUUCAGCCUUCACCCCCUAAUAUCUGACUCUGGGUUUUUUAUUAUUAAGACCAAUUAAAACUCAUGCUACAACUAAAUGUAAUGAGGAUGUAUUUUUAUAUUUAAGAACUUAUCUCUCUUUAUGUGUGAUAACAAUAUGAAAAAAGAAAGAAGCCAGGAAUUAAAAAAAAAAAAGGAGGACAUGGGAGAGAUGUAAGGGAAUUGGGGAAUGAAGAGAGUGUUUUAAUUAAAAAUAUUUUUUUAGGUUGUGAAAUGAAAGCUCACAUUGAAGCUAUUCAAUGAGCCUCUAGUCAUCUUGUCUCAGUCCAGUCACCACAUGGCCAAGGACCAGACCCAUGUGUUUAUAUGCAAUCUUUCCUCCUGGGCCUGCCCCUCUUUCCUUGCUUGUCCCAUUUUCACAAGUGCCUUUGCACAGGGGCUGGUGUGCCUUGCCUUUCCCAUGCCUUUGUGGUUUAAACAGAAAAGUGUAAUGUCCGUUAAGGCAGAGCUUUACUCAUAAAUUAUACCUGCCAGAUGGUGGGUUUCAGUUAACUAAGGACACAAAGCAACUUUUUUUCAGAAAAUAUUGUUUCUUUGUUGCCUGUGCCUUUUACAUAAUUCUAGCCAUCACAAUCAUUAACUUCUUACACCGUAUAAAAUUUUAUGAGCAAAGGAAUUUCAUUACAAUAUAAUGCUGGGUUAACAAUUUCAAAAUAAUAGCUAUGCUGCCUAAAUUAUGUCUGGUCAUUCAAGUAGAAACCAAAUGACACCAGGAUAAUAAACAGGCAGAAACCAGGUUGCUACAGACAGGGAAUGGGGGAUUAAUCUCCCAAUUAGAAGACAAAGAUUUCUGUAUACAUAAUACCAAAAUAACCAAUUUAAUGUGUUGAUUGAGUUUAGUUGUGUUUUAUAAUAUAAAGAAAAUGUAGACUGCCUGGUUCCCCCAUGUUUUUUGUCCUUCAGCCCAUUGUGUGGCAUCAUGCACACAAAAUCCAGCUGCAAUUUGGGUUGGUCUUCCAGGAAGGACUGUCUUAACUGAAAGUAUUUUUCUCAUUAACCAUGCAGUAGUGUCUGCACUAAUGAAUCACCUGACCACUUGGUUGAGUUUAGCAGUAAGGGU
rnacentral:lncRNA from 1 species